CCUACGGGUGGCUGCAGUGAGGAAUAUUGGUCAAUGGACGAGAGUCUGAACCAGCCAAGUAGCGUGAAGGAUGACUGCCCUAUGGGUUGUAAACUUCUUUUAUAUGGGAAUAAAACGUUCCACGUGUGGGAUUUUGUAUGUACCAUAUGAAUAAGGAUCGGCUAACUCCGUGCCAGCAGCCGCGGUAAUACGGAGGAUCCGAGAGUUAUCCGGAUUUAUUGGGUUUAAAGGGAGCGUAGGUGGAUUGUUAAGUCAGUUGUGAAAGUUUGCGGCUCAACCGUAAAAUUGCAGUUGAAACUGGCAGUCUUGAGUACAGUAGAGGUGGGCGGAAGUCGUGGUGUAGCGGUGAAAUGCUUAGAUAUCACGAAGAACUCCGAUUGCGAAGGCAGUUCACUGGACUGCAACUGACACUGAGGCUCGAAAGUGUGGGUAUCAAACAGGAUUAGAUACCCGUGUAGUC
rnacentral:rRNA from 1 species